UUGCCCUUGGAAUGCAAUCCAGACUUCUGAUCUCAUCCCCAAGACUUUGCUUUCUCUGGCCCCUGCCUCUCCCUCCAACCUCAUCCUGUUCCUUGUCUUCCUUUGUCUAUUACACCACCGCCAAAUGACUAAGGCCACAUGACCAACUGCCUUAGGAUCUCUGGCCUUGCAUUUUUCAGGACCUCACCCUUAGACAUUAUUUUUAAUAACAUCACAGUUUUCAUUUCCUUGUUGUUGUUCUGUCGCUAAGUUGUGUCCUACUCUUUUUCAUUUCCUUAUGAAAGUCUGUUUGAAAUUCUUUUCUUGUUUAUGCUUGCUUACUGUUGGCCUCUCAGCCCAGAUUGUAAAUUCUAUAAAGGAAGGAAUUUAAUUGUGGCUCAUCCAGUAUUCAAGACAGUUUCCAACCCAUAGUUGGCAUUCCACAUAUACUUGUUCAAAUGGAAUGAAUGGAUGGAUGGACUGGGUGGAAGGAAGUCUGAUAAGUUAUGAUCGCCUUACUGUGAUUUCAUGUAUGAUGUUCUCUCUGCUGGGAAUGAUCUCCAUUUGCCAUCCUUUCCUUAUCUGACACAUCCUUCAAGGUCUAAAAUAAGGACCACCCCUUCUAGAAAAUCUUUCCUGUUCCCCUAAGCCAAAAACAAUUUUGUUUUGCUACUUACUAGUAGAAUAAUGAGGGUAUUUUAGUGAUAAACAAUUACACACUAUGUCUACAUUUUGAAUCAGCUUCUUAAUUCUAAUGAAUGGGGCAUAAUUCAUACUUUAUUUUUUAUAUCAUUAUGUAAUAAAGUAAUUUUGAAAAUGACACACGGGCCAGUUUGCAGCAAGAUGUGCUGUUUUGUUGCAGAGCGGGGAACAGUGGUUACCACCUCUUGCCUUGUUGUGGAGAGAGCUGAAUUCGCACGUGGUCAGUCCUCCAGUUAAAGCUUGUGACGGAUAUUGGCGGUGUGUGGCCAUUCUGGUGACUGUCUAUAUCUAUGGCAUGAGUGACAAUGCACCUUUUUAUGAUCAGUAUCUGAUUAGGUGAGCUGAGAUGACGGGUGGCUGAGAUAAAACAGAUACACAGCCCAAGAGAUGAUUGCAAAACUCCAGUGUCAUGACCUUGAUGAACCUCCUGAUUCAAUCCAUUAUGCUCCGAGCUUGGGGCCAGUUGGUUCUGGACAACUCUUUGAGCAAGUGCCAACUGCUGGAAAUUUCAUCCAGGUUGUAAAAGAAUUGGAUUAUAAGGACCCAGACAUAGUUCCAGCUGGCCAUAUCUAUGAAAUGACAGUUUCAGUAUUUGAUGACUUACAUCCCUCCUGUACAGGUAAGCUUGAUAAAUUUCCUGGAGCACUAAGUGCCUUUUCUUUAGACUGUGCACUUUAGAUUUUAAAAUGUAAAAAUUCACUAUAUUUGGGACAGUUCUGUUAAACUAGACAAAGGAGAAAGGGGAGACUUAGAUUCAUGUUGGAAGUUAUCAUUAGGUCUGCAAGUGUUGUUCAUCUCUUAGCACACCUUAUGCAAAACACAAUUCUUAAAUGUAGCUCUGGCUAGAGAUCCUUGGAGCUGGAAGUGGGGUGUGUUAGGGACACGCAGAGCCUAGUCCUAAAGCUUGUUACCGAAACAAUUUUAUGUCAGUAGUGUCUCAGUCCACUUCAGACUGGGUGACUUACACAUAACAGAAAGUUUUUUCUCACUGUUCUGGAGCCUGGCAAGUCCAUAUCAAGGCACUGUCAGACUUAGUGUCUAUAGAGGGUCUGCAUCCUGCUCUUAGAUGUUUGUCUUCUCACUGUGACUUCACAUGGCAGAAUAGGCAAGAGGGGCUCUCUGGGGUGUCUUUUUAAGAACGUUAAUCCCAUCAUGAGGGCUCCACUCUUAUGACCUCUCCAUCCUAGUACCAUCACACUGGGAGAAUAGGUUUUAGUAUAUAAAUUUUGGAGGAACAUAAAUAUUCAGUUCAUAGCAUUUAGUAAUGCCAAACACCUCUUAUUUGGAAAGAGCCAGCUAUUGGGUCACAUGUAGUCCAUGCAUAUGAGUAACAGGAUUUUCUUUGGGGGGGUUACAUGUAUCAUUAUUUUACCUGAUACAGGUAGAGCCAUUUUUAAUGCAAACGGUGGGACAGUGCCAGAUUCCACAGCUCAUUCCCUUUGUGAGGCCCUUGACAUUUGUGGAUUUAAGAGUCCUGGUGUUGCUAAUUGUAUAACACCCUCAGGCACAGAUUUAAAUUGUGUGCUGUGCAGUCAGAGUGCCUAGCUGGUGAAAUGAGCUUAGCCAAUCACCAGACACCUGCUUCUCUGCUAAUUGUUGUACAAAUGAGAACAUACAUUAAGUGGCUCAAUGGGUCAUUUAUGUGUUCAACAACAUAUUAUCACAUUUAAGAGUGAAUUUGUAGCUGUAGCGGUAGUUGUGAAAAUAAGGUUGCACAAGUUUGCAGAUACGUCUAUUAUUAAUGACCACUGUCUAUUUUAUAUGGAAAGUAUGGUAAUAAGUGGUCUAGGAGGUGGGUUGGCAUCUAAGAUGUCCAAAAAGAAGUGAGUGUUUGGGUGGAGAACACAGGGUUACUAGUAGAAUGUCAAUGCUUGCUACGGGAGAGCCUGCAAUAUGGACAGUGCUUGCGUUUCAUGUUUCAUCUCUUGUGCCAUCUCUAAGCAAUUGGUGGUAGUCGCCUGGGUCAUUGAAUUGAGAAGGAUUCUGAGGUUGCCUCUGAAAGCAGUGCAAAGAGUACUGUGUUAUGGAAUUAAGCAGGUGGCAUCAUGGCAGCAUCCACAUGUUUUGCAACUAAAAGAAAUUUAUUGCUGAACUUUCAGCAACAGGUCUAGAGCUCCUUAAAUCCCUCUUGACUCCCUGAUGUAAGAGUUUUAAUAGGAUUCAGUUUACAAACAUCAUUUGUAGACUUAAGUGAUCCAACUAUGUGGAUAAACGAUCUGUACAGGACAGGGACACAGCAUGACAGUAUGCCCAGAAGUUUUCUUAGGUCUUCUCUGCUCCCCACUGAUGGAGUUUCAUUGGUUCAUGCAAAAGCCUGUAACAUAGCUCAACAAACCUUUUAGGAAAAAUGCUUUUUCUUGUAGUUACUCAUCCUGAUGGCCUCACAAAUCAAAAUAGAAUCUGCCCUUUUCACCAGAGCUGAGCCUUUUUCCAAGAAGAAGAGAAAAAAAAAAUUUCUCAUGGUAAUAAAUCCACAUCUUCUCUGGUCCCCACACCCCAGUAUAUUCCCAGCAGCUGCUCAUAAAGAAUGCUUGUAACACCCCACAUGUGGUUCAGUCUAUUUUUAUAGGCCAAUCAAUUAGCACAAUUUUGAGUCUUUAUGGGUGCAAUAAAAAUCAUAGUAUGGCAAAGCUAUAAGUGGCAUCUGUUCUUAUGGCACAUAAAUGGAGUUUAUUGAGGGAAAUAUAGAGGCUUUCACAUAAAUCACCUGUCUCCACGCAAAAGUGUUUCUUACUUUUUCUUGGUGGUCAUACGUACCUUUGAGAUGCUGAGAAAGCUAUAGACCCUAUACCUAGGAAAACACACAUAAUAUAUACCAAAAUAAAAGGAAUGAAACAGAUUCUCUGAAAUCAAGAUUCUAUGGGUCCCAGAUUAAAUGUUCUUGUUUGAAAAUGCAUGGCAUAGACUUUCAAGAGAGACAAGAUACAAGCAUUCUUCAGAGCAUAGUUUCUACAAGAUGAUCAACUAGAAAAUACUCCACGGUCAAGAACAUUUGGGAAGUGUCAACUACAAAUGGGCACUUGCCAUUGGCAGCUGCCAUCUACCUCUGUAAGGGUUAAAGCUGAUUUUCAACAUGCCCUGAAAGGAGUUCAGGGUGGAGAACAGAAAUGAGGCACUCUGUGCUCAGG